rnacentral:pre_miRNA from 1 species
UUGUCACCUGGAGUUCUCCUCAAACUACUUCACUUGCAGUAGCUACACCUAGCUCGUUUCAUGGCAUACUACUGUUUGCAUUUUUGUGUGCAUGGAGCCGGAGCUGUGUGCACACAUGGUGAAGUGUUUGGAGGAACUCUGGGUGGCAA